rnacentral:rRNA from 1 species
AAAAGCUUUCUUUAAUUGAAUAAUUGAAUUUAAUUUUUUAGUGCAAAAGCAAAAAUAAAAAUUAGGGACAAGAAGACCCUAUGAAUUUUUUAUUAAAUUUUAUAAAACUUUAUAUAAAAUUUAAUUUAAUUGGGGUGAUGGAAAAAGAAUAAAUAUCUUUUUUUUUAAAAAAAAUUGGUUCCGUUUUUAGCGAUUAAAUGAAAAAAAUACUCUAGGGAUAACAGCGUAAUAAUUUUGGAUAGUUCAUAUANAUAAAAUAGUUUGCGACCUCGAUGUUGGAUUAGGAUUCUUUUUUGGUGAANAAGUUAAAAAAA